rnacentral:rRNA from 1 species
AUUGAACGCUGGCGGCAUACCUUACACAUGCAAGUCGAACGGUAACGCGGGGCAACCUGGCGACGAGUGGCGAACGGGUGAGUAAUACAUCGGAACGUGCCCAGUAGUGGGGGAUAGCCCGGCGAAAGCCGGAUUAAUACCGCAUACGACCUAUGGGUGAAAGCGGGGGAUCGCAAGACCUCGCGCUAUUGGAGCGGCCGAUGUCAGAUUAGCUAGUUGGUGGGGUAAAGGCCUACCAAGGCGACGAUCUGUAGCUGGUCUGAGAGGACGACCAGCCACACUGGGACUGAGACACGGCCCAGACUCCUACGGGAGGCAGCAGUGGGGAAUUUUGGACAAUGGGGGCAACCCUGAUCCAGCCAUGCCGCGUGCGGGAAGAAGGCCUUCGGGUUGUAAACCGCUUUUGUCGGGGAAGAAACGGUCUGCGCUAAUACCGCGGACUAAUGACGGUACCCGAAGAAUAAGCACCGGCUAACUACGUGCCAGCCGCCGCGGUAACAC